rnacentral:rRNA from 1 species
CCGUUUAGCAUCGGCGGCUCGGCGGACGUUCGGGUCCAAACGGCCCGUCCGGCGUUAAAAACCGGACGGCGAGUCGUGCCCGGCUCGUCGGAGUCUGAGCAUACGAGUUGGUACCCGAAAGAUGGUGAACUAUGCCCCGCCAGGGCGAAGUCGGAGGAAACUCCGGUGGAGGCCCGAAGCGGUUCUGACGUGCAAAUCGAUCGUCGGAGCGAGGUAUAGGGGCGAAAGACCAAUCGAACCAUCUAGUAGCUGGUUCCCUCCGAAGUUUCCCUCAGGAUAGCUGGCAUUCGUGAAACUCAGUCUCUCCUCGUAGAGAGAAUGAAUAGAGGCCCUGGGGCCCUAGACGACCUCAACCUAUUAUCAAACUGCUACGAGGUGCGUCGGUGGUUUCGGCUUGCUGACUUGAAGUCGACCACG